rnacentral:rRNA from 1 species
UACGUAGGGCGCGAGCGUGUCCGGAAUUAUUGGGCGUAAAGAGCUCGUAGGCGGCUUGUCACGUCGUUGUGAAAGCCCGGGGCUUAACCCCGGGUCUGCAGUCGAUACGGGCAGGCUAGAGUUCGGUAGGGGAGAUCGGAAUUCCUGGUGUAGCGGUGAAAUGCGCAGAUAUCAGGAGGAACACCGGUGGCGAAGGCGGAUCUCUGGGCCGAUACUGACGCUGAGGAGCGAAAGCGUGGGGAGCGAACAGG